rnacentral:rRNA from 1 species
GUCUUCUUGUUUUUAUAGGAAGUCUGGCCUGCCCAGUGAUUUUUAAACGGCCGCGGUAUUUUGACCGUGCAAAGGUAGCAUAAUCAUUAGUCUUUUAAUAGGAGGCUGGAAUGAAAGGUUUGACGAAACAAUAUCUGUCUCAAUUACAUAUUUAGAAUUUAAUUUUUGGGUUAAAAAGCUUAAAUUUUGUUGGAAGACGAGAAGACCCUAUAGAGCUUUAUAAAUAAAGAUUUAAUUAUUAUGUAUUAUUUUAUUUAAUGUUUGUUUAUUUUGUUGGGGUGACAAUGAAUAUAUAUUUAACUUUCAUUAUUUAUUUACAUUGAUUUAUGAGUAUUAGAUCCAUUAUUAUUGAUUAUUAGAUUAAGUUACCUUAGGGAUAACAGCGUAAUCCUCUUUUGGAGUUCAAAUUUACAAGUGGGCUUGCGACCUCGAUGUUGGAUUAAGAUAAUAAUUAGGUGCAGUUGCUUAAUUAAUAGGUCUGUUCGACCUUUAAAUUCUUACAUGAUCUGAGUUCAGACCGG